rnacentral:rRNA from 1 species
AUUGAACGCUGGCGGCAGGCCUAACACAUGCAAGUCGAGCGGUAGAGAGGUGCUUGCACCUCUUGAGAGCGGCGGACGGGUGAGUAAUGCCUAGGAAUCUGCCUGGUAGUGGGGGAUAACGCUCGGAAACGGAUGCUAAUACCGCAUACGUCCUACGGGAGAAAGCAGGGGACCUUCGGGCCGUGCGCUAUCAGAUGAGCCUAGGUCGGAUUAGCUAGUUGGUGAGGUAAUGGCUCACCAAGGCGACGAUCCGUAACUGGUCUGAGAGGAUGAUCAGUCACACUGGAACUGAGACACGGUCCAGACUCCUACGGGAGGCAGCAGUGGGGAAUAUUGGACAAUGGGCGAAAGCCUGAUCCAGCCAUGCCGCGUGUGUGAAGAAGGUCUUCGGAUUGUAAAGCACUUUAAGUUGGGAGGAAGGGUCGUUACCUAAUACGUGACGAUUUUGACGUUACCGACAGAAUAAGCACCGGCUAACUCUGUGCCAGCCGCCGCGGUAAUAC